rnacentral:rRNA from 1 species
UGGCUGUCGUCAGCUCGUGUCGUGAGAUGUUGGGUUAAGUCCCGCAACGAGCGCAACCCUCGCGAUUAGUUGCCAUCAGGUUUGGCUGGGCACUCUAAUCGUACUGCCGGAGUUAAUCCGGAGGAAGGCGGGGAUGACGUCAAGUCCUCAUGGCCCUUACAAGGUGGGCUACACACGUGCUACAAUGGCGACUACAGAGGGUUGCAAUCCCGCGAGGGGGAGCCAAUCCCUAAAAGUCGUCUCAGUUCGGAUUGUUCUCUGCAACUCGAGAGCAUGAAGUUGGAAUCGCUAGUAAUCGCGGAUCAGCAUGCCGCGGUGAAUACGUUCCCGGGCCUUGUACACACCGCCCGUCACACCAUGGGAGUUGGCUUUACCCGAAGGCGCUGCGCUAACUCGCAAGAGAGGCAGGCGACCACGGUAGGGUCAGCGACUGGGGUGAAGUCGUAACAAGGUAGCCGUAGGGGAACCUGCGGCUGGAUCACCUCCUUUCUAAGG